rnacentral:rRNA from 1 species
AGUGAACGCUGGCGGUAGGCCUAACACAUGCCAGUCGAACGGCAGCACAGUAAGAGCUUGCUCUUACGGGUGGCGAGUGGCGGACGGGUGAGGAAUACAUCGGAAUCUACUUUUUCGUGGGGGAUAACGUAGGGAAACUUACGCUAAUACCGCAUACGACCUACGGGUGAAAGCAGGGGAUCUUCGGACCUUGCGCGAUUGAAUGAGCCGAUGUCGGAUUAGCUAGUUGGCGGGGUAAAGGCCCACCAAGGCGACGAUCCGUAGCUGGUCUGAGAGGAUGAUCAGCCACACUGGAACUGAGACACGCUCCAGACUCCUACGGGAGGCAGCAGUGGGGAAUAUUGGACAAUGGGCGCAAGCCUGCUCCAGCCAUACCGCGUGGGUGAAGAAGGCCUUCGGGUUGUAAAGCCCUUUUGUUGGGAAAGAAAAGCAGCAGGUUAAUACCCCGCUGUUCUGACGGUACCCAAAGAAUAAGCACCGGCUAACUUCGUG